rnacentral:lncRNA from 10 species
CCUCCUCCUCCUGAAGGUUGGCCUCGGCUGGGGCGCGGGGCUGGGCGAGGGCGCGCUAGCCCACUGGAGCCUUCCCCGGGCGCCGGGGCUCCCUCGGGCGGGCGCCGCGGGCUGUGGGGCUGGAGCUGGAGCCGGGGCAGUGGCUGUCGGGCUCGGGUUGGGCUGGGGCUCCCGCGGCGAGUCUGCGACGGCGGCGGCGGGCGACUCAGGAAGUGCAAGGGAGAGACGGGGCAGGGCGCGGGCCGGGAGCGGGGCACCGAGACAAUCGGGCCCCGGGAGGGCGACCUGGAGAGGGAGGGCGGGAGCCAGGGGAGGAAGGAAGAAGGAAGGAAGGAAGGAAGCAAAGGAUGGGGCGAGGACGCGCGUCCCAGGAGUAAGCGCGGAGAGUUGGGGCUGGGGGCUGCAGCCGCUGGAAGGAGGGGACGGGGGUGCCUAGAGAGGAGGAGGAGGAGGAAGAGGAGGAGGAGGAGCGGGGCGGAGGAGCGCGGGCCGCGGCUGGGACGCUGGGACCCGAGAGCCGCUGAGUACGCGCUCCAGGCAGGCUCUGGGAAGUCCGGGAUGGAAGCAGCUCCCUUUCUCUCGCCUUCCUCCCUCCCCUCUCCCCUCCCUCCUCUCCGCGCCUCUCCUCCUCCCUCCGCCCUCCCUGGACGUGGGCUGCCG